rnacentral:misc_RNA from 1 species
GAUGAAGAACGCAGCGAAAUGCGAUAAGUAAUGUGAAUUGCAGAAUUCAGUGAAUCAUCGAAUCUUUGAACGCACAUUGCGCCCCCUGGUAUUCCGGGGGGCAUGCCUGUUUGAGCGUCAUUUCACCACUCAAGCCUCGCUUGGUAUUGGGCAACGCGGUCCGCCGCGUGCCUCAAAUCGACCGGCUGGGUCUUCUGUCCCCUAAGCGUUGUGGAAACUUUCGCUAAAGGGUGUUCGGGAGGCUACGCCGUAAAACAACCCCAUUUCUAAGGUUGACCUCGGAUCAGGUAGGGAUACCCGCUGAACUUAAGCAUAUCAAUAAGCGGAGGA